UAUGUGAGACUAUAUUAUAUACCUAUUACCUAUACAUGAGACUUAUAGGUAUCCAAAUCAUAGAUAAUAUAUCAUCUAUGACCCAGUUACUAUAUUCUAAACAGUAUUUAUUUUAUAUGUGCAACCAUUAACUUCUGUAUUUUUUUUUUUAACAUUUUAUUUAUAUCCUUUAAUUAGUAGUAACUAAUUUAUCUCAUCAUAAACUAUGUUUAAGAGAUAAACGUUGGAUGUGUCUGAAUAAUUGUGGACGUACAUAUUUAAACAAAAAGAGUCUUAUCCGUCAUUUAAGGUAUGAGUGUGGAGUCAAACGACAAUUCCAAUGUUCUAUGUGCUUUCAUCAAUUCAAACUGCAGUGUCAUUUGAAAAAACAUUUAAAAAAAUGUGUGGCAAAAGUUGAUUCUAUUAAUCAGUGUGGAAAAUUUCGGUGUUUGUGAAAUAUGUAUUAAUAUUUUAUAAAUAAUAAUUAUAUAUUAUACAAGUAUAAAAAAAUCUAUUAAUCCAAUAAAAUUUGAAAGAAUAUUUUUAUUUAUUUAUUUAUUAUUAUUUUUUUAAAUAAGUCUUUAUUGUAAUGGAACUUAUUUAUUUACUAUCAUUACUUUUUACAGUUUUUUUUAUCACUACUAGCUGACCAAGUGGAAUUAAUAAAAUUAUUAAUUUACAAAUUAUGCUAUAUGGUGCUGCUAUACUAUUAAAAUGAACCGAAUAAAUCACAAAUUCAAAAAUGCAUUGGUUAGAUUAGAGUAACAGUUAGUUAAUAAUUAUUUACUUGUCAAUUAUGAAUAAUAAUCAACAACAAUACAAUUUUCAAUUGUUGUUAUAUCUAUCAAUAUCUAUGUUGUUUCAAUAAAUUUAAAGACAUUUUAUUUUUAUAAUUUUCAGACAUUUAUUUACAUACUAAAUUUAAAGUAAUUUAUUAAGUAUCAGUUUCAGUUUAAACAAUUACAUCUUACUUACAUUUUUUAUACUUAGUAUAGUAUAUUUUGUAAUAGAAAUUAGUAUAAUUUUUUUUUUUGUAUAGCUUUAUCCAAUUGUCAUGUACAGUUACUGAAUUGAUGGAUAGUGACAUAUCCUCUUUGAGCAUGCAGAGUGCUUUUAAUAUGUCUAAUGUCUAUACUUACUGCACUAGUGGUUACAUAAUAUAGUAUAUAGCAGGAAUAGUUAACAUGAACAUUUUGCAAGCUUAACGCUGUAACCAGACCCCCCUCUCAAAAAAAAAAAAAAUUUUAUUUAAAUAAUAUUUUUAUAAUUUCAUAUUUUAUUACAUGAUAUAACAUACUUAUACUUUAACCCCCCUCCCAAAUAUUUUGCUGGCUAUGGCCUUGAGAAAGCCACAUGGACAAUUAAUACAAUUAUUCCAAGAACCAAAAUAUUUAUAAAUAUAUUUUAUGUAAUUUGAUAAAUUGUUAUAAAUGAUUAUCAAAUAAAUUAAAAUUCAUAACAAUAAAAAGAAAAUUUUGAUUUUAUGAAUAAAAUACUAGCCUCAUUUGACUAUGAUGAGAGCUGCAAAUUAGCCAUCCUUAGUAUAUAAUCUAUAUAUAUAUAUAAAUGGAUUUCUGUCUGUCUUUUAUCCUAUAUGCGUUCCUAAACGGCCUAACCUAACUAACCUAAGAGAUAAAUUAGAUCUAAGGGUAGAAGAUAGACUAAGUAAAAAAAUUGAUAGGCAUAACCCCGGGAGGUACUCUAACAGACAUUUUGAGAUUUACGAUGGAAAUUUUUGUUUAUAGAUGGUUGCUAUUAGUUUUAAUAAUAAUAAUAAUUGUUUCCACAUGUUCUUUGAUUAUUGCCAAGGAAACAACCAUGCCAUAGCAACCAAAUAUAAACAACAAUUUCCAUCAUAAAUCUCAAAAUGUCUGUUUGAGCACCUCCCGCGAUUAGGCCUGUCACUUUUUAACCAGAAUUUUGUGUAACGAACUUAACAUACAGUUUGAGACAUAUAAGAGGUAUUGCAUCUCUUCAAAAGGUUAUGUUAAUGAAUACAAAUAAUUCUGAAUCAAAAGUCCGUUUCUUUUGUUUAAAUAUGUGUGGCCGAAGCUAUAAGAAUAAACAACAUAUGACCCGCCAUAUGACUAGUGAAUGUGGCGUACAACCAAAAUUCCAAUGUCAAUACUGCAAAAAAUGUUUUACACGUAAACAAACAUUAAAGAUACAUUUAGUAGCUGUGCAUAAUCGUUCACCAGAUGAAAUCCAAGGAAACCCUCGUCACUGUUUAAACUGGGCCACUGUUGAUUAAAUUGUAUUAUGUUUUAUUUAUAUAUUUUUAAUCUUUAGUAAGAUUACACAAACUAAAAUUGCCGUUUAUACAUAUUAUGUUAUUUAAAAAAAUUUUAUUUCAUUUUUAUAGUUGUACACAUUUAUUUUAUUUUUGAGAAAAGUAUGACAGUUAAAAGAAGACUGUUACUAUACACAUUUCUAAGACACUGUUUCAUUGUUGAUUGACAUGUUAUUGUUUACUUAGGUUCUUAGUGUACUGCCAACAAAAAUAAGCUUUAGAUGUAAAUAAUACCCAAAUAAUUAUUAUUGUACUUAAUAAUUAUUUAUUGUACAUGCUACACGUCAUGUACACAUUACAUACAUUUAUACAAUAUGGAUUUUACAAUUGACUGAUUAUUCAGAAAAAUCUACAUGGUUACCAGCAAGCUUUCGUUUUAGAAUAGUGGUCAGCUGACUCAAUACUAUAUUAAGACUAUAUUUAACAUUUUUUUUUUUUCAUUUAAAUAUUAAAACUUGUUUGAUGCAUGAACUAGUACUUUAUUUUUAAAUGAAAAAUAUAAGAUCUAUAGGUAUUUCAUAUUUUUAUUAUUUUUUUGUCAAUACCAACCACCUAUCUACAAUACAAUCUGCACAAAAUAAAAAUAAUUAAAUAAAUAUAGAAAGAAAAAUUAUGAUUAUUGGUUUGAUAAUCUAUAAUGGUGUUGCUCAUGUGUGCCAUUAACUCGGUUGAAUAUUGAUGCUAUUGUUUAAUAAAUUAUAAAUCUUAAUGUUUGUGCAAAAAAGUUUUCUAAAGAACAUUUUUAGAAAAUUUCAAUCAUUUACAAUAUACCUAUAAUGGGUAUUGGGUAUGCUUUCUUGCAUCGAGAAUUAAAAGUACAAUAAAUACCCAUGCUACUAGUUACUACUUAUUAAGUAGUCAUCAGUGGACAGUAGACUACUAUUGUUUAUUAAUAGUAGUGUAAUACCAAUAUAAUACUAUCUAUAAUACUACCCUACCAAUAUAACUAUAAAAUAUAACAAUCUAUAUAGUACAUACAUUUGUUUACUUUACUUUAUUUGCUUAUCACAUUUGUCUAAAGGUGAUCAGAUCUAGCUAAGACAGAAUUUAUAUUUCAUAUGAUAUAUUGAUCAUUAUCAUUCUCUCUUAUUAAUGCUUGUACUUUGUUAGAUAUUUUAAAUUUAAUUCUUAAUCACAAUUAUGUUGGGAGCCAUCUGUUACUUAAUUGAUUAGCAAUAGUAAAUAAAGUCAGAAAACGGCUAAUAAUAAAUAUAUAUUAUUUAAAAUCACAAAUUGACAGUUGUGUAUAGUAUCAAAUAAAUUAUAGUUCCAAUAAUCAAAAAAUAAUAUACAUAACUUUUAUAUUUAAAUACCCAUUUUAGUCCCAUCAUCAUCGUACAGAUUAUUUUCCUUAUACUAAGAUAUCAGAGAGAAGUCUAUUAUAGUAUAGAUAUCAAAAUUCUUGUACAUUUAUGAAAAAUAGUGUUGGAUUAGUAAUUUAUAGCAUUUAAAAUUGCACACAAAUAAGCUUGUCAAAACUCAAAAAUUAUGCAUGUAAUUAUAUACAUAAAUAUACCAGCUUAUAAUUUUAUAAAUGCAUCUAUUGUUAAUUAUAAUAAGAUCAUUAUAAAAUUAACUUAGGUACCUACCCAUUUUAACUGUUUAAUCUCAUUUACUUUAAGAAUUUAUUUUAUUUUUCAGGCAUAGUUCAGAUUUACUGUCCAAAAUGUAACAACAUAUAUGAAAAUAACAAAAGUUUAUUCACACAUUUAAUGUAUGAAUGUGCAAGCGAUGAGCGAAAAUUUCAAUGCAACAUUUGUUUAAUAAAGUUUUCUCAAUUGCAUUUGCUCAAGUGUCAUAUGCUAUCUCAACAUAAAGUUUUAUAUACUUAGCUUAAAGAAAGUAUCCAUAAAAGUUAUACCUCGUUUACCUAUGUAUCAUAAUAAUAUAAUAGGUAACACAAUAUGAAUACUUAUUAUUAAAAUUCUUAAAAGGAUGUCCCAUCAAUUUUUUUAUCUGGUAUUCGCAUAAAUAUGUCGUCGAAAAUAAAAUAUAACUAUAGAGUACCUAUAAUAUUAUUAUCAUAAUAUAAUUAUAAAAAUUGCUUUUUCUUAGAGUAAUAUUAUUCAUAUUAGAGAUAUUCAAUUAAAAAAAAACCAACAACAUUUAAGAUUAAAGAUGAAGAUAAAAAAUUCAUAAUAUCUUACUAAAACAAUUGAAAUUUAUUAUUUAAUAUAAAAUGAAUUCAAUGUUAAUUAUUAAUCUUAUAGUUAAGGAUCAAUAUAUAUUAAUAUAUUAUAUAUAUAAAUAUAUUUAUGAAACAUAACUUUUCUAUUUGACAAUAAUUUUAUAUUUAGGCAACUGGUGUAUAACUAUUAUAAUCUAUUUAAAAUUGGAGUUAUUUACGAAUUUACUAUGAUAAAUUUACAAUAACCAUAAUUAUCUUCUGCUGCAGAAUAACGAUGAAACAAAAUAUCUUAGAUAAACUUUACAUUGUUAUGACUGUUAUGAGGUUGCUGAUGGACCUCUUAUCUCCAAUCAUGUUAUUAUUAUUACUCAUGUCAAUUAUAUUCAUAUUUACUUAUUUUUAUGUAUUAUAUAGAUUGUAAAUUUCUCUUUAAAAAUAAUAAUAAUAAAGUUUUUAAUAAUACUACUAUUAUGAAAAUGUAGAGACUACAGCAGUGCACUCUUUGUGGUCAGUAUGUGCUAAGCAUAACAUUGUGCUUACAUGCACUAAAUCGUCUAAAUCUUAAUAUUAUAGGUAUCAACUUGUGUCUUGCCUAUAGGAAUACUGAAAAAAAUUCAAAUAAGCCAUCUUAAAAUCAUAAGACCUGAUACCAGAUAGGUAGUACCUUUUUCAUUAAAUUCAGUAGUACCUGAAUAUUAUUUUUAACAAUAUUAUAAUUAAUAAGUAAUAACUAUUAGCUAUGGUAUCCUUGGAAAAUAGAAAAGAUAUGUGUGUAAAGGGAAAAUAACGGUUUUCUCCAAAUGGAUUUAAAUAAACCUAUGUAUAAGUAUGUUUAUUGAAAAACAGAUAUGAUAUAGACACUCGCUCUCUGGUAGAUAUUAUAGGUAGUAAUAGGUAUAGAUAUAUAAUAUAUGCAGACACACAGUAUUUGAUGUUUGCUGUUAUAAUUCGAGCUGUUUUAUUUAGUAGGUAUAUAUAUAUAUUUAUUUAUUUUUUUGUAACUUAUUAAAUGUAAAUGAAGAAUGUGUUAAUUAUUUCCUUGAAUAAAAACGUGUUUUUGACUUUCAGAAAAAAUAUAAGUACAUAAAAGUAUAGGACCCUUUAGUCUUAACUAUUACUUAGUGGGACCUAAUUUUAUCUUGUUUCCCAGUAGAGAAAAUGGACCCAAAAGGCGCCUGCCUAUAAAAAUUAUCUAAAAACUUAAGUAUUCUAUUAUUUGUGCCUUAUAAUAUAAAAAGUAUAUUAUACUUAUUGCUAAUUUUAAAUUAAAUAUUUUUCUACCAACUCAUAACUGUUAUGUACCAUCAAGUUUCGAGAGCAUUUUAACUAUAAUUAAUAUAACUAUAUGUCUAUAUAUGUAUCCAGGUGCCUACUUGUAAAUUAUAAACGUAUUAUUUAAUUUUUUACUUAUAUCUAUAAUACAUUUAUACUGAAAUUUAUGAAAAUUAUAAAAAAUGUAUUUGAUUUAUAUCAAUACAUAUUAAGUAUGAUAUAGGUUAAGUUAGGCAGGUACCUUAUUGUAAACGAAUAAUGACUUAAUGACAUGUUCAUUUAGGUCAGUUUUCCAAUCAUAAAUGGUUAUGUUUAUUUACAAGAAAUGGUUAUAGCUACAAGCCUACAAACUCAAACAUACUUUAUCAAAACAUUUAAAACAAUAAAUAUGCAAAAUACAGUCACAAUUCAUGUUCAGUAUCAACAAUAUCUGAAGCAACAUACCUACAAUAAAUUGUGAUAACGUUCCACUCGAACUUAAUUAUCCAUUUUAUAAUAAGUAAUUCAAGAAAAAAGUGUAUCUUAAAAACACACAUAAUGGGAUGAGUAAAAAAAGUUAUCUAUUGACGUCUAUUCAACUAUACCUAUUAUAUUUAAUAUAACGUAUACAAAUGAUUAAUGAAAGUCCUAAGUAGUCGGUUUUUCAAUCAUGAAUGGCCAUGUCCACACAAUUGCGGUCGUAGCUACAAACAUAAACAUACAUUAUCCAAACAUUUGAAAUACGAGUGCGGAGUACAGCCACAAUUCGUUUGCAAAAAUUGCGCCCGUACUUUCAAACGCAAACAUCAUCUGAAGAAACAUACAAUGAGUUGUGAUAACGUUCCACCAGAAUUUAGUUGUCCAUUUUGUAAUAGGCUUUUCAGAGAAAAGUGGAAUCUGAAAUUGCAUUUGGGAUGCGUACACAAAGCUGUUAACAUAAUAUAACGUAGGUAAAUAUAAUUGAAGUGAUGAAUGACGGUCAUACUACAAGAAACUAAUUAUAAUGUAGUUUAUGUAUGUAUAGGACAUAAUAAAGAUUGUAGGUAUAAGAAGAUAACAUACUUUAUAAAACGUUUGUUACACCUCAAUAAUUUAUAAUUUAUAAUAUAAUAAAUAUUUUAAUUGUAUAAACAUAUUGUACAACAGUACAAAUGUACAAUAUUAAGUAUAAGUAGGUACCUAUCUGUGUAUACUCGGUUCACAGUUGUACAUUAAUAUAAAAAUAAAACCUACCUAUAUUAUAUUAUGUAUACCUACCUAGGUACCUAGUAGGUACCUACAUAGGCACCCGCAGAAAUUUUUCUAGGAGAGGGCAAUGUUAGGAUUUGUUAUUAAAUAAAUAGUAAUUUAUCAUAAAACAUUCGAUUUAAAACAUAUUUAUGAAAAGCCAGAGGGGGGCAAAUGCCCCAGCUUGCCCCCCUUCCGGGCGCCUAUGGGUACCUAGUUAUGUUAUGUCAUAAUAAUCACUGCUAUUAAUAAUACCUGAAUGUUAAUACUUUUAUAGUUCUGUAUAGUUCUGCAUAGUUAUUAAUUAUUUUUAUAUCUAACCUAAUCAUUAAUAGCAGUCCCCUAAUUUAGAUGACCUAAUAAACAUAAUAUCGUCAACCACUUUCAUUUUCAAAUUAUUAUUAAAUAUUGUUUUCGAUUUAUUUUUUGUUCCAAUAUUGUUGUAUGAUAGUAAUCAAUAAAAAUAUCUAUACAAAUAGUAUCAUUUAUAACAAUCAUCAAGAUAGAUAAUAAUUAAGUUAUAAAAAAUACUUACAUGUGUUAAUAGAGCAAGAGUAAGACCGAUCAACAUUGAUAUUUUAUCGUUUUAAAAAAAAAAAUUACCACUAGGUAUGAUAAUAUAAGUAAUAUGAAUUUUUGGAAAAAUUAUGUAGGACAAUACAGGUAUGAAAAAAUAUAAUACAAUUUUUCUUUGUGGACUAUAACUACAUCUAAACAGUUUAUAAUAUUAUAAAAUGCAUAAACCUAAUUAUGAAUAUAUUAGGUACCUAUAUAUUAUAUUAAUUGUAAGUCUAUAUAUGUAUAUAACUGUAGAAGUUAUAAUUGUAUGAGGUACCUAGGUUCCCAUAAUACUUAAUAUUUAUCUCUAAGUUGUAGAACUAUUAAAUAUAAACAAAUUACCUAUACCUUUUGAUGUUAUUUUAUAAAUAUUUAGUGUUUUUUAAAGUCCUGUAGGUACUUACAUAUUUAGUUAAGUAUUGUGGUAUUGUGUAUUGUUACACUUAACUACCAAAAGUAGGUAGUAUAUAUAUUUAAGAUGACUUAUUGACUUAGUUAAUAUAAACCAUCAACGGCUUUUAUUUUUUAAUUUUUAUUAUAUUGUAUUUAAUUUUUUUUUAUUCUGAUAUUUAUAUAAUUGUAAUCAAUAAAAUUGUUUAUACAAAUAUUAUGUAUCAAUGUAUCAUUAAUAGUUAUUAAAAAUAUUAAUUGAUAUUUUAAUGGUACAUAAAGUUGACUACAAUAACGAUUUUAAAUAAAAAAAUUUAAAACCAUCAA